UCGGCCUGCCGCCGCCACGGGGGCCUCUGACACUGCGCGCCAGGCCAGGUUCCGGAAGGCAGCCUGCGCGGGCGGGGAGCGCGGGCCCGGGAGGCCCCCGCGCGCCGGGCUGCCUGCAGCAGGGGGCUCGCACGAACGUCUUCCCCCGCCAACCUCCCAGCGCUGGGGUGCGGGCUAGGACGGGGUGGGGGGACAGUGGCGCCCAGCGCGGAACAGCGCAGGAGCCGGGCGCAACGCCGCACGCGGGGACCCAGGUUGCUGGGGCUCUGUCUCUGUGUGAGCCAGCCUGCGGGAAGCCUCGUCUGGCAGAAGGUGACCCAGAGAAAGGAAUUCUAACGCUUCUCUCAGAGGUCAGCCGACUGUUUCUGUAACGGGGCAGAGAGGGGGUGUCUGGGGGUCUGUGUCACCGGGACUGAAGCCUGCCGUAGCAAUGCUGAGGCAGCCAGAGACGACUCGUAAGCAAACGGGCGCGCGGGGCUCCCGCAGAGCCCUGUUCGCAGCGCAGGUGGGCCUCGGCCGCCCCCUGCUCUGUGUGGGCCCUUGGCAGUCCCUCACCUGGAUGCCAGCCCAUCCUCAGCUGCAGCCCGUGCCAUGAAAUAUGUCUGUCCCGCCGGUGCCUGACUCUGGGCAGAGUUUCUCAGGGGCAAGACCCCACACCCCGCGCUCAGCCCCAGCCUGCAGGCUCGUCUUGCGCCGUCUUCCCGCCUUUCUCCCAUUUCACAGGCACAUAAACUGAGGCUCCAGCAGCCUGCCUCUUGUUCAGAGCCAGGCCAUGCGUAAGCGAGGGGGCUGGAAUCCAAGCCGGGGCUGCACCGUGGUGACCCCCGCCCCCAUCCCAGCGCACCUCUGCCUGGGCGCCCACCCCCUCCCCGUGGCCCCAACCCCUCUGUCCACCUCCACUUCCUGUGGCCACUCAGGGAAUUUGCAUCUGGGGCCAAAGCAUGAGCGUCAGUGACUCCCGAGGCCCCCGUUCACUCUGGGACCCCCAAUAUUGUCGUGCACAGGAUACCUUCCAGCCAGCAACAGCCGGGGCCGAGGAGUUCGGGCUGGGGGGAGGGGAUAAUGAGGGCCCGUGAGACCCAGUGGCAGGUGCUAGGUCCUCUGCAAAGUGGGAUGAGCCGAGUCCUAACUGCCUUGUGGCUGUCUUUGCCGUGCACAAGCCCUGUGCGCAGAAUGUCCUGGAAAGCCCCCUUCGCGGUGGCUCCAUUGCCCUGUCCUAGGGGACAGGGCUGAGGCCCAGAGACACUGAGUCACCAUCUCAUGUUGCAGAGCCGAGUUCCAGGCCGCCACACGCACUGCCUUUGGUCACUCUGCUGGGCUGGAUAGUGUCCCCCAAACUCACGUCCUACCCAGACGCAGGACCUUUGGAAA
rnacentral:lncRNA from 1 species